rnacentral:rRNA from 1 species
GNAGGGUCCAAGCGUUAAUCGGAAUNACUGGGCGUAAAGCGUGCGCAGGCGGUNGUGCAAGNCCGAUGUGAAAUCCCCGGGCUUAACCUGGGAAUNGCAUUGGUGACUGCACGGCUAGAGUGUGUCAGAGGGGGGUAGAAUUCCACGUGUAGCAGUGAAAUGCGUAGAGAUGUGGAGGAAUACCGAUGGCGAAGGCAGCCCCCUGGGAUAACACUGACGCUCAUGCACGAAAGCGUGGGGAGCAAACAGGAUUAGAUACCCUGGUAGUCCACGCCCUAAACGAUGUCAACUAGUUGUUGGGGAUUCAUUUCCUUAGUAACGUAGCUAACGCGUGAAGUUGACCGCCUGGGGAGU